UACGUAGGGGGCAAGCGUUAUCCGGAUUUAUUGGGCGUAAAGCGCGUGUAGGCGGCUUGUUAAGUCAGAUGUGAAAACCGGGGGCUCAACCCGCGGCCUGCAUCUGAAACUGGCAGGCUUGAGUCUGGUAGAGGAAAGUGGAAUUCCUAGUGUAGCGGUGAAAUGCGCAGAUAUUAGGAGGAACACCAGUGGCGAAGGCGGCUUUCUGGGCCACGACUGACGCUGAGACGCGAAAGCUAGGGGAGCGAACAGGAUUAGAUACCCUGGUAGUCCUAGCCGUAAACGAUGGGCACUAGGUGUGGGGGGUUAUCAACUCCCUCCGUGCCGCAGCUAACGCAUUAAGUGCCCCGCCUGGGGAGUACGGCCGCAAGGCUAAA
rnacentral:rRNA from 1 species